GACCUGAUGGCCAAUGGUGGCGCCCGCACCGCAUGACAGGGGUUGCUCUAACUGAUAAGAGCGGGCGGUCCUGGUUCGAUUCCAGGUUGGGUCA